GUCGAGCGGACAGAUGGGAGCUUGCUCCCUGAUGUUAGCGGCGGACGGGUGAGUAACACGUGGGUAACCUGCCUGUAAGACUGGGAUAACUCCGGGAAACCGGGGCUAAUACCGGAUGGUUGUUUGAACCGCAUGGUUCAAACAUAAAAGGUGGCUUCGGCUACCACUUACAGAUGGACCCGCGGCGCAUUAGCUAGUUGGUGAGGUAACGGCUCACCAAGGCAACGAUGCGUAGCCGACCUGAGAGGGUGAUCGGCCACACUGGGACUGAGACACGGCCCAGACUCCUACGGGAGGCAGCAGUAGGGAAUCUUCCGCAAUGGACGAAAGUCUGACGGAGCAACGCCGCGUGAGUGAUGAAGGUUUUCGGAUCGUAAAGCUCUGUUGUUAGGGAAGAACAAGUACCGUUCGAAUAGGGCGGUACCUUGACGGUACCUAACCAGAAAGCCACGGCUAACUACGUGCCAGCAGCCGCGGUAAUACGUAGGUGGCAAGCGUUGUCCGGAAUUAUUGGGCGUAAAGGGCUCGCAGGCGGUUUCUUAAGUCUGAUGUGAAAGCCCCCGGCUCAACCGGGGAGGGUCAUUGGAAACUGGGGAACUUGAGUGCAGAAGAGGAGAGUGGAAUUCCACGUGUAGCGGUGAAAUGCGUAGAGAUGUGGAGGAACACCAGUGGCGAAGGCGACUCUCUGGUCUGUAACUGACGCUGAGGAGCGAAAGCGUGGGGAGCGAACAGGAUUAGAUACCCUGGUAGUCCACGCCGUAAACGAUGAGUGCUAAGUGUUAGGGGGUUUCCGCCCCUUAGUGCUGCAGCUAACGCAUUAAGCACUCCGCCUGGGGAGUACGGUCGCAAGACUGAAACUCAAAGGAAUUGACGGGGGCCCGCACAAGCGGUGGAGCAUGGGGUUUAAUUCGAAGCAACGCGAAGAACCUUACCAGGGCUUGACAUCCUCUGACAAUCCUAAGAAAUAGGAAGCCCCCUUCCGGGGGAAAAGGAAAAGGGGGGGCAGGGUGUCCCCCCCUCCGGGCCGGAGAAUUUUGGUUAAACCCCCC
rnacentral:rRNA from 1 species